rfam:Larimichthys crocea isolate SSNF unplaced genomic scaffold scaffold42, whole genome shotgun sequence.
GUCGGGAUGGCUGGGUGAUCUAAGGUGCCAGACUCAAGGUUUGGCUCCUUCUUCAGCAAAGGGCUUUCUGGUCUCUGAAUGGAGACGUGGGUUCAAACCCCACUCCUGAUA